rnacentral:lncRNA from 1 species
AUAUUAAUACAGUUCAAUAGGUACGCAAAUAAUCACAUCACCGAUCGAAGCAUCGAUCAAAUCGACCUAGUCGAUUACAUUUCCACCGGACCAUUUCUAGGUCAUUCAUCCCACACCAAGCAACUUUCUUAAAUUUUAAUAGCUUUAUGGUCACACCCGACCCUUUCCAGUAGUGGCUUUAUGGUCUCACCCGACCCUUUCAAGAUCUAGUGACUUUGCGGUCCCACCCGACCUUUUUAAGAUCUAAUUUAUGAAUGAAUCUUAAGAUUACUCAUAAAUUACUUCAGCACUAAAUAAAGUUCAAAUAAAUAAACAGACUACACCACGACGAUCAGCACAAAAUUCCGGUCAUCGACCAUCUCGGUUGAAUUUCCGGAAAAAUAAAUAAUUAAAUAAUUAAUUUCGAAAAUUAAAUAAAUAAUUAUACAAAAAAUCGAAUUUAGGCCCGUAAUGCCGAAUUGGAUGCCGCGACGAGCCCUAAAAAUUACCGAGACUCGUUCCAUAAAUAACAUGGUAUGCUUACUUGUUAAUGUCUAUUUCUAACCACCUAAUAUGCAUCAUUAAAUCUCUAAUUUAAUUGAUUUAAACUAAUCUAACCACCUAAUUACAUUUAAUUAAAUCUAACCAACCCUAAAUAUAAUUAGCAAACUAAGAAAGUAUUAGUGAGUAAAACUCACUUGGUAAAAGCAAAGACCGAAUCACCGCAACAGCGUCGCGGGCUUUCGACAACACCGGCGGGCUUGGACCGGGCCUUAAGCUUAGGCCCAACAAAUCUCAGCCCAACUGAGAUUUGUUCUUACUUUUGGGCCAGACCCAAGUUGGAUUGGGCCUGCUGCGAAGAUGGGCUUCAAGUUAUGGGCUGGGCUGCAAUUGAUUUGCUGGAAUUGGGCUUGACCAAUUAAUUUACUUGGACUGGACUGGGCUGACUUGCGGCCCAAAUGGGCUGAACAAACUGCAACUGGAAGCGGGCUGUUCGGUGGGCUACAGCUUUGGACCGUUGGGCUCGUGAAUUUGCUGGCCCAACCGUGGGCUUCUGAACUGACGGCUUCAAUUAGGCCUGACUUGCACCGAAUUCCGCUGGGCUGAUGAUGCGUGUCGAUCCACGAGCAAAGAUGGGAGACAACGCGAACGCUGGUCAACGAAGGCUUCGUUCGGUGGGGAUUUGACCAAGAUGGGGGCGUGCUGGCGUGGACGAUGGAGGGAAAAGCAGCGUCGAAGAAGUUGUGCCGUUGAUCUUCAAGCGUUGCUGGUCUUCAAGCUUCGCUGGCGGACGUGUGGAGUGGAGCUGAGGGAAACGAUGGCAAGCUGGCAGCUGGGGUUUUGUUGGAUGCUGUUCGGUCAACAAAUCAAAGGGGCAAAUUGCUGAGUUGACCGGUGUGUUGGCAGCGUGAGGAAGCUCAGUGGACUCCGCGACGAAGACUGGUUUCUCUCGCUGAUCGGUGGCAGUGCACUGGCAGUCAACGAUCGAGAUUAAUCCUGCUGAAGAUUUCGCUAGAUUGAAAAUCCCGUAGACUGGUUUCUCGAUGGAUUUGCUGGCCGAAGAUGGGGAAGUGGAAACCGGCACAUGGACUGGAGGCUCGGUGGAUUGUGGCUUCGCAUGGGGCAGCUUCGGUAAGUCUUCAACGCUGCUGGACUAGACACGAAGCAGUGGAGCUGCACGCGGUCAACAAUCUUGCUGAGAUUGACCAAAAUCUCGGUGGAUUGGUCUUCAAUGCAGCUGGCGGACGAAGGAAAAUUUUCGAAGGAAGCAGCUUGGUCUUCUUCAGUUGCUGUUGGAGGUGUCGCACGAAGAAAAAAGAUGGGAAGGGAAGAGAAGCAGCUCACGGCAGCAAGAUGGAGAGGAUGAGGAAGAGGUGGGGGCCC